rnacentral:rRNA from 1 species
UCGGGAUUAGUGGCGGACGGGUGAGUAACACGUGGGAACGUGCCCUUUGGUUCGGAACAACUCAGGGAAACUUGAGCUAAUACCGGAUGUGCCCUUCGGGGGAAAGAUUUAUCGCCAUUGGAGCGGCCCGCGUAGGAUUAGCUAGUUGGUGGGGUAAAGGCCCACCAAGGCUACGAUCCUUAGCUGGUCUGAGAGGAUGAUCAGCCACAUUGGGACUGAGACACGGCCCAAACUCC